GGAUUUGGAUUUGGAUUUGGAUUUCGGUUUUUCCCCUUCUCUCUGUUCUGCCCACGUCAAAACCCUAGUCAAUGACUGCAAUUGGGAUCAGAAACUUAGACUUCCCAUUAAUGACUCCUGCAAUGGUGGCUCUAUUGGGGUCUUGAGGAGGAGCCGCGGAUGUGCCAAGAAAGGACCUAGUGGUAAAUGCCUGAAUGACUACGUUAGGGCUUGGGUCCAGAAGAAGAUGGAUUCUGGCGUCCCGCAGUCUCGCUGCUUCCUUCCUUUUCUCGUUGGGUCAAAGAAAAUUGCCGAAUGUCUAGUUUGCCAUGGCUUUAUCUUCCCUGGGGAAGAGGUCUUAUGCACUGUUCGUACUUGUGAAGGAGUUUAUCACUUGCAAUGUGUGAAGGAAGGGCUUGGUUUCUCAAAUCCGGGAAAAUUUAAGUGUCCACAGCAUGCAUGCUUCAUUUGCAAACAGAAAUUUCAUUGGCGGUGUGUGAGAUGCUCUGUGGCAUCACAUGAUAAAUGUGGUCCAUGGCCAGAUAAAGUGAUUCAUUUGAUAAACCAACAAGGACGGGCAAUAUGUUGGAGACAUCCAACUAAUUGGCGACUAGAUAAGAAGGCUGGCUGACAGGACUGGUGUAUUUGUUGAAUGAGCAGCAUAUAGUUCCAACAAGUGAUAUAGAGGAGGUAUUUUGUCGAUUGCCUCUACCUUACGUUGAUGAGGAAUUCAAGAUUGACUUAACAUGGAAAGGCAUGAUGGAGAAUAAACUAGAGCCACCUCCAUAUGUUCAUAUUAGACGCAAUGUUUAUCUAGUCAAGAAAAAGCGUGAUGAUGCUCAUAAUGAUGUAGGAUGCACAAAUUGCACUUCUACAUGCUGUGCGGAUUGUGUGUGCAGGGUUCAAUGCAUUAGCUGCUCAAAGGCAUGCCGUUGCCCUGAAAAUUGCACCAACAGGCCAUUUCGCAAAGAGAAAAAGAUUAAAAUUGUCAAGACUGAAUUUUGUGGUUGGGGAGUGGAGGCAGCUGAACCAAUAAGCAAAGGCGAUUUUAUAAUUGAGUAUAUUGGGGAAGUGAUUGAUGAUGCACUGUGCGAACAAAGGCUUUGGGACAUGAAAUACAAAGGUGUACAGAACUUUUACAUGUGCGAAAUUCGAAAGGAUUUCACAAUUGAUGCAACUUUUAAGGGGAAUACAUCUCGAUUUCUAAAUCACAGUUGCAAUCCCAACUGCAUACUGGAAAAGUGGCAGGUUGAGGGAGAGACACGAGUGGGUGUGUUUGCUGCUCGUUCAAUAAAAGUUGGGGACCCAUUAACAUAUGAUUACAGAUUUGUGCAAUUUGGACCAGAGGUGAAGUGCCACUGUGGUGCUCCAAACUGUCAUGGUUAUCUUGGAAUCAAAAGAAAGAUCGGAAAGUUAAACAUCUGCUGGGGUGCAAAACGCCGGAGAUCAUCAACUUCUUGCUUAGCUGUUGUAACUGUAUGAUCUGUGGUGGCAGACCAUCUCCAGUGAUGUUGUACAUUUUUCUAUAAUGACGUAUGGUCAAAGUGGAAGUAAAACUACACAAAUCUCAGUUAUACCAUUCAAGCGUAAAACGUUCAUAGGAAAAUGUAAUUUUUUUUCAUAUUUAACUGUUCCUUAGAUUUCCCUUCUAAUUUGCAUGGGUUCUUAACGUUGUAAGGGUGCAUGUAAUUGAUUUCCCAAGUGGGGUUGCCAGGAUGUAAUUCACAGUUCUCUUUUUAUGGGUAAUACAAGAUUCGGAAGAUUUAAAGCUUGGCUUCAGCGAGGUAUGGAAACUCAUCAAGCUCUUUUUGUUUAUGAUAUUUUGCUACUCUAUAUAUAUUCUUAGAACCGUUUAAAAUUAUUGGUAGAUUUGAAUUUUCAAAAAG
rnacentral:misc_RNA from 1 species